UGCGGAGAGAGGACAAAAGCUAAACUAUGAUCCUGCGCUGCUUCACCCCCCCACACACACAUCCCGCUGCCGGCUCCAUGAGCUUCACAUCCUCCUGCUAAGGCUGAAAGGAACAAGAACAAGAGCUGCUGAUGGUUGUAAGGCCUCGCUCGGUUCUCCCCACCCCCUCCGCCAGCACCAUCCCCCACUGCAGCUCCCAUGGACUCGUAUCCCUCCCAUUAACGCUGGAAGGGGAGGACAGGAGCUCUGGUGGGUUUUUCUCAGGUUUUACUCUGUUUUCUCCCCCCACACACCGACCAGCACCAGCUCCACAGCCCUGCAGAAGUGCAGAGCUGCUUCUGCUACCACAUCCAUGAAUGCCCCUUCCCUCUGAGCUCCAAGGAAAAAGGAAAAAAACCACCCUGAUUCCCCUCGUUUUGCUUAUUCAUUAUAAGCGCUUGGCAAUGUGCUGUUAAAAACGUGCGAUCUCUUGUUUCAGAAGCAUCUGUGCUUUAAGAAUAAGGUUUUGUCUUCUUGAAUGUGGCUCUUCAUAAUAAUCUCUUGAAGUGCUCCAUUUUUGUCCUUAAAGUUCUAUUUUAUUACCUCUUCUGGAUCAGCAAAGGUCGGUUUAACCCUUUACAGAUGAGAAUCGGCAGCCACUUUAGGAAAACGUUGCCCUUCUCUUUAUUAAUUCAUGGUUACAAUCAUAUUUUAUGGAGGAUUUUCCCCCCAGCUCAGUCCUGCUGCAUGCUGAAGGAAGUGUGUGCUUCAGCGCUGAUUAAAGUCAUGUAUGAGUUAAUGAGAAGCUUGCGGAGUAUGUGAAGCAAGAGAAAAUCUUUAACCAGCUCUGCUGUUCCUUCUACAUACCAUAAACUUGCACGCUGUUACCAGAAGGUGGGUUGAAUAUGUGUGAAAUGCUGCAGUAGGAGACUCUUAAAUCGCAUCACAGGUGGAUGCUCGCUCAAUUAAUACGUUAUCAUUUCACAAUACCUUGAAGUUAGGUGGGUUUGUUGAUUUUUUUUUUUUUAAGUACUUUGAGGCUUCCCAUUUCCACAUCCAUAGAAAUGGAUGAAAGAUGCUGUAUGCUCGCAAAGUAUUGUUUUGUGGAUGGAUUUUUUAAUUUUGAACAGUCUGUGGUCCCCUGUUCUCACUGCUUCCCGGGUUAAUGGAUUGAUAGCACAGGAGGGACUCUGAGGUGCUGGAGGAACCAGCACUGGUGUCAACAUUCCAGUUGUGGGACUUCUAAUUUAAGAAACAUAUUGUCAUAAGGAAUAAGAUCAAGGCUGAAUUCUGCUUGCAUUUAGGUCCAAAUACAAAAUAGGCUUUGGAAGGAGUCCCCAGGGAGCACUGAGAGUAAUUAAGUAAAAAUAAAACCUUUCACUUCAGCCCCCCCCUUCCCCUUUUAACAUAGACAAGUCAGUGCAAUGCUGGUUUCAUUCCACCAUUUUCAUUAUGUGUCCUGAUAUUUCUUAAUUUUGUAUUGCGGCUGAAAUACUCAGGUGACUUAUAAUUUCAGUGAUUUGGGGGUAUUUCUAGACCAUACUUUUAAAGAAGUCAUCUCACUGUGUCCCAGAAGGAGCCAUUGAGCAGUCGUUCUCAUAAACAGCACUGAACUUCUUACAGCCUUGCCUUUCCAAACACCUUUUUUUUCCCCCUGUAAUUUUCAUCCUUAACUGUUGAAUUCCCUUUUCUUUACAUUAAGUAAAUAUUUAUUAGUACCACUUGGAUUUUUUUUUUCAUCUUUUUAGAAGAACAGAGCCUUGUCACUGAGACAAUCCUUUGGUAUUGAGGAGGUGACAUAAAAAAGGAGUGAAGGAGAGUUGUCUUGUGCUGGGAAAUGCCAUUUUUGGAAAACAAUACUAUAGGAAAUGGAAAUGAAAAAUACAUUUUAUGCUGGUGGGAACUUGUAAUGAGGCUAAGAGAGGAUUUAGUGGCUCAGAAAAGCAAUGAUUACAAGGGGAAAAGUGGGACUUUAUUAUCCAUUUGUAAAAGUUCUCGGGCUGAAUAUCCUUUUGGGAACCUGAAAUUUGGCUCAGUUCUGUUUAUGAACAUCUGUUGAAUGGAAUUUUUAAAAGGCACAGAUUAUAAUCUUAGUUUCUGCUGGCUAUUUAAGAUGAUAAAAUAAAGCAAAAUCAACGUAUCUGCAAGUCCAUUUUGGGGUUUGUUUUGUUAACGAUGAGCUGCAUGAAUGUUCAGUAGUCUCUACUGCUGAUUAUUGGGCUCUAUAUGUGUUCCUGUACAUUUUUUCUAUUUACAUAUAAAAUAUUGCCUCCACCCCUUUCUGUAGCUGUCUAAUUCCACUUGAACACUCCUAGAAAGCAUUCAGGUUUUUGUAGGGUUUUUUUUUUGUGACAAGAGGCUGUUGGAGUUUGGUGUCUGUGGCAUUUCCUUGCCGGGAGCAGGGUGCAGUGUUUGAAGGGGGAUGCUGAGAGCUGUUGGGUAUUCCCAGAACCGCGGCCGUUUGCUUCGAUUCACAUCCUGCCCACCUGUCCUGGGCUGUAAAUGCAACCACUUUGUGUCCCCUGGCUCAGGAUAGCACCACUUCAGCUUCUAUUUCUGCAGCCUUUGUGACCUCCUCUUAUUCAGGGAGGACUUCACUGUAAUUUUCCCUCCUAUUAUUUUGCCUCUUUUCACAGCCUGAUGUUUUUUUGCUGUUGUUUUCUAUUCCGAGCGAGGAUGCUGUGAGUGCUUCAGCUCAAAAUUUAGGUCAUCUCCAGUAGAGGAAGGGAGACCUAAAAAGUAAAAAUAAGAUUUCAAUGUGCCUUUAAAAGUGACAACUCUUUGGGGAAAAAAUGUACGAGCUCACCUGUAUUUUAUGGCAGGACAGAAAUGGAAGGGGCCUUUCCUGAUUCCAGAAUGAAAGCUGAGUCUCUCUUUGUGAGUGUGGUUUCUUUUCCCUGUGCUUUCCUGGUCUUUCAUUUUCACACCUGAUUUGAGCUUUAAUCACUCAAAUUAUUCAUAGACUUGCCCUGGAAAAAGAAGACAGUGACCUCUUCCCAUCUGGACUAGAUGGAUUCACCACCAACAAUUGCAAAUGGAUGACUUAAUGUUGGGGUUUGCACUUAAAAUUUUUAAUUCUGUGGUGUCAUUGCCUCUCAGGAAUUCUGCACAUGGUCUUUUCCGAACUGGCACGUUGGAGUUGUACCACAGAGAUUUAUUUAUUGCAGUUUGUCUCUUAGCAUUGGGCUGCUGUCUACAAAGAGCUGAUGAUCCCCUGAGCUGCUGAGUUGCCAGAGCACCUUGCCCAGGACCAGGCCUGUGAGUUAUCUUUUUUGUCCGUAAUUAUAUCCAAUGUCUUCCAUGACAAGGAACCUCAAGACAAUUUAUGAAAUCAAGAGCCACGAAAGCACUGCCCGUUGGAGGUUAUGUGAUUACAAUUUAGCUGUUCCUCAGCCUGAGGGUGCCUGAGGGGACACAGAGCCAACUGCUCCUCAGUUGCUGUGGGUGGCUGGAAUCAGCCACUGGAAUUGAUAGAUAUCUGUUGCUCUUUCUUUCCUGUUACUUUAGUGGCUUAAUUUAAAUAAUUAAGGAACUUGUGAAUAUGUUUUUGGUUGGUUUCUGCUCUUCCUAGCAGCUCUCUGCAGUUUUAUAUGUAUUAAAAGUGCUAAGCUUCCUCUGGCCUAGAUGUACAAUAAAUACCUUAGUCAAUGCAGUUAAGUCCAGUUUCCUCUAUUCACUCAGAAGAGAUUUGUUCCUUAUCUGAAUUGUUCCUCCAUUCAGAAGGAGAGAAGCCUUGUGCAGCCAGAGCUCACCUCAUCAAUCACCCAGACAAAUGGAGCUUGGGGCAGAAGAAGAUACAAAAUGGGAAUUGUUGUGAUUUAGGCUUCAUGAGGUUUGUGGAGUUCUGCUGUGGGAAUGUGCUCACCAACCGUUUGAAAUACAAAUGUUUAGAAUGGUCACCAUUUUCCAGCUAUUCCUUCAGCUGAAUUUGCAGUUAUCAGCUGGGCCCUGCUCCUCAAGGGUGCCUCCCUUCACCCUUAAACAUCCUCUAGUAUUUGGUGGCUUCUCUUUAACAGUUAUUGGUCUGUUGAUACAUUUUUUGAUCAGAAGGUUAGAAAGGGCUGCUUGGUCUGCACCCCGGCUCUGCUCUGAUCCACAGAUAUGGCACAAUCCACUUGCUAAUUUCUUUGGCUCUGCCGUGGCAGAGGUGGCUCCCAGCCAGCAAUCAGUGCAGCCACAGCAGCUCAGAGACCUGGAGUGCAGCUCCUGGGCCAAACAAUGGUAACACACAGGUUACAUCCCCUCCCAAGCCCUGGGUCAGCCUGCUUCUGCUGCCCACAACUCUUCUGAUGGCUUGCUUUGCUUGGUCUCCUGCCUAACAUAAACAAUUCAUCUCAUUUGUCUUCAAAAUAAGGUUAUUUUCUACUAUUAGCUCCUUUAUAAUGUCUUCAUUGCUUACCGUUCUGAAGAGUUGGUAUCUUUCCUGUUCCAAGAGUGUUUGAUAAAUACAUUUGUUGGCACCUGUCCUCCCUUCCUCCCUUCCUCCCUUCCUCCCAUACUCAUCCUAAGGACCCUUCACAACAAUCUCACUCAGUUACAAGGGGUCCCUCUGCCAGAUUGGAGCUUCCUGUUGGUGUUGUGUCAUUUCUGAGCAAGGCAAGGCUGAUACCUCUGAGCUCAGUGGUUGCUUCAUCUCCUCAGCCCUCCCAGGGGUCUUGCAGGCGCUUUCAGUUCUGCCUCACGUCUUUGAUUUGGUGAGGUUCCCUGCUAUUUACAUUUCUUCACAUAUAUCCUCUUCCUACCAUCUGCUACCUUAUGUUUUCCUCAUCUCUGAAACGUACUGACCAUAUUUCAUUCAAUGUUGUUUUACAUGAUUUUCUUAAAAUUUAAUUAAAAGGUUCUGAAAGAACAAAGCAAAUUAGAAUUCACCCAUUUUGUGCAGACACUUUAUGUGAAUGGGAAGCAACUCAAUAAAGACUUUCAAAUGCCUUGAAUGAAUUUGUAACCAAAAUUCUGUGCAGUGUUUAUCCAAAGAGCCUAUUAUUGAAUUCAGGAGGACAGUUUCAUUACUGACAAAAGUUAAGGUUGUUAUUGAAGAACAGCACCUUCUCUAGAAACUCUCUUUCUUUGGAAUUCAGCAAUUCUCCUGAGCAGUAUUUACUUUGGAGUGAGUGUGUGGCUGUGCCUUGUUAGAUAAAAGCUGCAGCACUAAAACUGUUUUACUGAACUUAGCUCCUGACCUGCCUUCUGAGGCCACAGCUACAAAGGGAUGAUACAUCAAUCUAGUUUGUUUGAUCUAAUUACAGCUGUUUAACCAUCCUGAGCACAAGUGCACUCACCCCACUUUGUUAUGCUGAUUUCAGGUAUUUUCACUGUUAAUCGGGUGCACAGUGCUUGGUUCUUUCUUGUAUUAAUUUACCUCUCAAGAUAUUCUGGGCAGUUAUCCCACAGAGAGGUGUUCUGCUACUCAGCUGUGUGUUAUUUUUCACAAUGUGUUGACAGGGAAUUCUCAGGAAUUUGGGGAUUCUGGGGGUCAACCUGAAUGACUACUCCUUUUCUCCUGACAUCUAUUGUUUUUUUCCCUGUGCUUCUUUUCUGAAAGGCUGCAAGGUUCAUGAUGAAGCAAGUGGUAAAUCCAUUUAAACAUCCCUUAACGUGCAGAAGUCCAUUACCACCUGUGGAAGAGCAGAUUUCUGAUUAUUUCUGACUGAAGUCUCUGCGGUUUACGUCAAGAAUAUUGUCAUGGGAUCUCUUUUAAUGUGUAUGUAUGAUCUUUUGUGCUUGUAAGGUAUCCUCUGGUGAGAACACUGAGAAAAACAAAAAGGUAAAGAAAAGAAGGAGGAAACCACCCCAGCUGAAGAUGCUUUUUGGCUCCAUGCUUGUGUGUGUUACUGUUUAUAGGAAGGGGAAGAGGUGGCAGAUCCAAGGAAGCUCAGAAGAGUGGGAUGGAAAGAUCUCCAGUGGGCAGGCAUGUGGGACAGAAGAUCCCAGAAGGGCAGCCCUGGUUUUUGCUAUUUUGCUAAAGCAGGCUCUCCCUCCCUCAUGGCCGGAGUGGAAAAGCACGUUUAAAUCCCGAACUCGGCUUUCCCACGUGGUGUCUCGCUGAGCUGCUGUCACAGCCACGCCGCGCUCUCACAGGGCACCGGAGCUUCUGCCCUGCCCUGCCGGGAAGGCACAAGGAGGCAGCCUUCAUCGAGCGAGGAGAGCGAAUCUUGGCAAAAAGAGCACCGAAGGAUGUGAACCCCUUGGAAAAUUCCACUUCCUGCCCAGCACUGCGUGUCCUUGGGUCUCUCACUCAUUCCCAUGCACUUAACGAGGGAUUUCUGCCUCAGGCUACCACACCAACUUUCUAAAUAAAUGCCGCGCACACCCGAGCGCGGUGCUCUGCAGUUAAUCUCAGCCCAGCACCAGCUCUCUCCUCUCUUCCUACUUCCCUCCAUUUUAUUUCUCCGCUGGUUUUUCUCUCCAGCAGGCUCCAACUCUCUCUCCUGCUGAACUUGCCGGGAACAAAAGGCUCCGUUCCCGAUCCAGCCCGCAGUUGCCGUGAGAAACUUCCUCGCCAGCGCUGUCUGUCGCUCCGCUCUCCCUCCCUCGCUCCCUCCCUGCCUCGGGAAAAUGGCAGUGCGGGAGCUUGAUGAAAAGGGGGAAAAAAAACCUUCUUUCUCAGCGCCUGCCUCUCUGGCAGCAUCCCCCCUCCCCAGUCGUGACGCCUGAACUCAAACUUCUCUAAAAAUACACUUUAGGAGGGCAGAUUUUCACGGGAAGGGAUGUGUUUUUUACACCCCACUGAAAAGAGGCGCCGAGGUGGGGGAAAGGCCGAGGGACAGCUUUUUCCAGACAGGAGAACCUGCUGCUGACCCCUCCCGCACGGCAUCGCCAGGUCCCAAGGAUUUGGAACACAAUAAGUUUUCCUUCAGUGGGAAAAUCCAGGCCCAGAGUUCAGAUCUUUCUCUUUUUGCAGAUUUAAAAGCCUUUUUUCCCCCCCUUUUUUAACUCUUCACAGUGGGGUUCACAGCAGAACGCGGUCGCUCUGCCAACCCACCCGAGAGCUCCCAAAUCUGGUGGGAUCCAGGGAAAACAGAAGGUUGGCUCCGGAUCCAGUGCAGGGGUUUUUGCAAACUCCAGUCCACGUUUUGAUUUUAUUUUUUGCCCUUUUUUUUUUCCUUUUUUUUUUUUUUUUUAGUACAUUUACUCUUCCUUCCCCGAGCUCACCGGAGCGCUGCUGUCCGAGGGCAGCCGGGGUGCACCCCCCAGUAUACAGAAUAAACGGGGUUCAUAUUUCGUUGCACUUCAUUAUUGCUUUCCUGCCCUUCCCGAUAUCCCCCAGUUUUCCCUGGAAUUAAAUUCCACCCCCACCCUUCCUUUCACUGCGGGCUGAGCGCUGC